rnacentral:rRNA from 1 species
AACGAACGCUGGCGGCAUGCCUAACACAUGCAAGUCGAACGAAGGAUUCGGCCUUACUGGCGAAAGGGUGCGUAACGCGUGGGAAUCUGCCCUUUAGUUCGUGAUAACAGCUGGAAACGGCUGCUAAUACCGGCUGAUGACGAAAGUCCAAAGAUUUAUCGCCAGAGGAUGAGCCCGCGUUGGAUUAGGUAGUUGGUGGGGUAAAGGCCUACCAAGCCGACGAUCCAUAGCUGGUCUGAGAGGAUGAUCAGCCACACUGGGACUGAGACACGGCCCAGACUCCGACGGGAGGCAGCAGUGGGGAAUCUUGGACAAUGGGCGCAAGACUGAUGCAGCAAUGCGGCGUGAGGGAGGAAGGCGUGAGGGUUGUAAAGCCCUUUGACCCGCGAAGAUAAUGACUGCACCGGGAGAAUAGGCCCCGGCUAACUGCGUG